rnacentral:rRNA from 1 species
UACAGAGGGUGCGAGCGUUAAUCGGAAUUACUGGGCGUAAAGCGUGCGUAGGCGGUUUAGUAAGUCAGAUGUGAAAGCCCCGGGCUUAACCUGGGAAUUGCAUUUGAAACUGCUGAACUAGAGUGUGGUAGAGGGAAGUGGAAUUCCGGGUGUAGCGGUGAAAUGCGUAGAUAUCCGGAGGAACACCAGUGGCGAAGGCGACUUCCUGGACCAACACUGACGCUGAGGUACGAAAGCGUGGGUAGCAAAC